rnacentral:lncRNA from 13 species
AUGGGAGAGUGUUUACAGGUGACGGACAGCUCCAGAACGGAAGUGUAUGUAAUCAGUGUGCUGUCCCUCCCCCCGCGGGGGUCUGUGGAUGUUGGGAUCUUCUACACCUGUAGUGUGCAGGAUCACCCUGCGCUGGACUCCCCCCUGUCUGCCUCCUUCACCUGGGACGCAGACCCCAAUGAGGUGAUUGGAUGCUUGAAUAUCCUUAAGGUCUGUGUCCUCUGUGGAGUGACUGUGGUGUUUUCCAUUGCAAGUAAGUACUGUGUGGUUACACUCACAGGAUCUCACAAGGAUCAUGGGAAAGGGAGUCAUGUAAAUCAUUGUAUGGUCCAUGUCUUGAGCAUCAGUCAAUUGGGUUGUUUUGGAUUUUGUCUUUUUCUCCACAGCACUGACAAGUUUGUGUGAGAGACAAAAAAGACCUCGUGUGUCCCAUGUCCUGUAAGUACACACACACAAGCAUGCAUACACACAUUCUGUUUUACAGCUCUAUCUGUUCAGCUAUCCAUCAUGGUGAGAAAAAGUCAACACUGACACACAAUCCGUAUUUGUCCAAAUGAACGUCUUUCAGCAAAUAAAGGGAGAAAACAAAGGACAUGUGAGAGAAAGAAAACAAAAGGAUCUGAACACACCAAGAGCAUCCGAUUUUCCGUAAAUAAUAGGCUACCCACGACAGCUUCUACACAGAUCUUUACUGCAUGAUACAUUUCCUGAUCAGAUGGCACACUUUUUAUGACAACGAGUAUGCUGGGUUUUAACUGAGGGACUUUUUUUGGGGUGGGGGGUGGACCAGUAGUUUUUUUCUAUAAGCACAUGCCACAGCGCUGUUUUUUUUAAAAAACUAGCUCCACUCUCUCUCACUUGUCCUCACAUGAUGUAUAUUCUACCCAGCCCACACAUUCUGUAACAUCCCCAAAUCAUAAUGCAAAAACUGAUGCUAUGUGAAACUUUAGGUCUAUUGUUUCCGUGUUGAACGGAAGCCAUUUUGCAAUCGUGUCAAGUGCCACUGUGCUGCUGAAUGCUUUUAGUAGUCAUAAUGUACUCUAGUGUCAAAAUGAAUGUCUCAUGGAUGGUAUGCAACAAUCAACUCAACCUCUGUUGGAGGUAUAAGCCGUGAAUAACCGGAUGGAAUCAAGUCAAAGCACUUCCUGGUGUGAAAGUAUCGAGCCUACGGGUUUAUGCUGGUGGUGUGGGCUUUCCUUGCACGUGUAUAGUAUACAUGCACCACCCGUGAUACCUUAUCAGAGACUAUAGUCUCUGUGUAAAUAUUGGAGAUACUCAUCAAUUAUCAUGAGUUACACUGUAUUGGGAAGUACGUCUGAAGGGAUGGUCAUCAUGUUAAACAUGUUUUGACUCCAAAACAACCUGAUUAUGUUCAAGUAUACCAUUGCCAACCUUUUUUUUGCCUGUAAUUGUGUAACCAAUUCAAUACUGGUCCACUAUUAUCGUAUUAUUGUUCCUGUAAUUGUGUAACCAAUUCAAUACUGGUCAACUAUUAUCAUAUUAUUGUUCCUGUAAUUGUGUAACCAAUUCAAUACUGGUCAACUAUUAUCGUAUUAUUGUUCCUGUAAUUGUGUAACCAAUUCAAUACUGGUCCACUAUUAUCGUAUUAUUGUUCCUGUAAUUGUGUAACCAAUUCAAUACUGGUCCACUAUUAUCGUAUUAUUGUUCCUGUAAUUGUGUAACCAAUUCAAUACUGGUCAACUAUUAUCAUAUUAUUGUUCCUGUAAUUGUGUAACCAAUUCAAUACUGGUCAACUAUUAUCGUAUUAUUGUUCCUGUAAUUGUGUAACCAAUUCAAAACUGGUCCACUAUUAUCGUAUUAUUGUUCCUGUAAUUGUGUAACCAAUUCAAUACUGGUCAACUAUUAUCGUAUUAUUGUUCCUGUAAUUGUGUAACCAAUUCAAAACUGGUCCACUAUUAUCGUAUUAUUGUUCCUGUAAUUGUGUAACCAAUUCAAUACUGGUCAACUAUUAUUGUAUUAUUAUUCCUGUAAUUCAAAAAAUGAACACGCUUUUAUUUCAACAUCAAUGUCUUUAUUUGGUCCCACAAUAAAACAACGAAGGCCCCACAAUCAAACAAUGAAGGUUCCACAUGUUAGAGGUGUAUACAAAAUGGGACAGUGAGUGCACAUUAAUUUCACAAAGCCAAUAAUAUAAAUCUAUGGACACAAUGAAUCACAAGUACACACAAAAACCCUCACUUACGCAUGUGUGCUCAUGCAUGCACAUUCACACAUUCACACAUGCAUCCCCCCCCCCCCCCC